AAAUGUCUCCUCCUCCUAUCUUUCCCCCCUUACCCACCCGCUUCCCCAAUUCUAAAGCUCCAAGAGCUUCCCUCUCUAUAUUCCCAUACUUCACUCACCGGCUCUCCCCUUUACCCCUCACCUCUGCUCAGAUUUCCCCAUUGGAUCCCCGAAUUCUUUCGUACGAUUGGUGCUUUGAAGGAACGAUUCUGAGAUUCGACUCCAAUUCUUCUCAUUAAUCAACAUUUCUCUGUGUCAGUGAGUCGAAUCUUAGAAGGGAUGUCGAUGGUGUUACUAGUUGCUUCUACCCUCCGUCAACCGGGAAGUCGGUCCAUCCGCUGUUGUCUUUCACGGUAGCUGCGAUGGGCUUCUAAUGCUUAAUCCCGAGAUCUACGCCGGAGAUCUUGGAUGCUGUAGGGUGCCGGAAUUGGAUCGGGUUCGAUCGAAUUCUAGCGUCUUAUCGUAGGAUCUGGUGGCGGAUCGAUGUCGUUCAGGAGCAUAAUUCAGGACUUGAGGGAUGAAUUGGGGAGCAUUUCGAGGAAGGGCUUCGAAUUGAAGAUGGGGCAUGGGCUGAGGUCGCGGUCGCACAGGGUGGUGCACGACGCUCUGGGCCCGCCUUUGGUGGGCGCGCUGAGACAGAGUUGCUGGGCGAACAUGCCUCCCGAGCUGCUGAGGGAUGUGCUGGUGAGGAUCGAGGAAGGCGAGGGCUCGUGGCCCGUGCGGAAGGAUGUGGUAGCCUGUGCCGGCGUCUGCCGGAGUUGGAGGGACACUAUGAAGGAGAUUGUGAUGACACCUGAGCUGUCGGGGAAGCUCACCUACCCUAUCUCAUUGAAGCAGCCUGGGCCAAGGGACUUUCCUCUCCAAUGUUUUAUAAGGCGAAACCAGAGUACACAAACUUACCAUCUCUAUCUUGGUCUUACGCAAGCACUGGCGGCUGAUGGCAAGUUCCUGCUUGCUGCACGAAAAUGUCGGCGUCCUACAUGCACCGAAUAUCUCAUCUCUCUUGAUGCUGAUGACAAGUCAAGGGGAGGUGGUACAUACAUUGGGAAACUAAGAUCUAAUUUUCUGGGAACCAAAUUCACUGUCUAUGAUGCUCAGCCACCUCACGCUGGAGCUACAGUCUCAAGGAGUCAGUUGACUCGUAUAAUUGGUCCCAAACAAGUUUCUCCCAGGGUUCCUGCUGGAAACUACCCUGCUGCCCACAUUGCUUAUGAGUUGAAUGUGUUGGGUUCGAGAGGUCCUCGAAGAAUGCACUGUGUCAUGGACUCGAUACCUGCUUCUGCGAUUGAACCUGGUGGAAUGGCUCCGACUCAAACAGAAUUCUUGCAUAACAGCCUCGAUUCUUUUCCAUCAGUUCCAUUCUUCAGAUCCAAGUCAUACCGCACGGAAAGUUUGUCAGGAUCAAUAUCUGGCUUGAAAGAGGAAAAGUUGGUUUUAAAAAACAAAGCUCCAAGGUGGCAUGAACAGCUUCAGUGCUGGUGUUUGAAUUUCAGGGGACGUGUAACUGUUGCAUCAGUGAAGAACUUCCAGCUGGUGGCCUCUGAAGAGAAUGGGUCAUCUAACCAGGAGGAGGAGAAGGUAAUUCUCCAGUUUGGCAAGGUGGGGAAGGAUUUGUUCACCAUGGACUACUGCUAUCCAAUAUCAGCAUUUCAGGCAUUUGCUAUCUGCCUCAGCAGCUUUGACACUAAGAUAGCUUGUGAAUAAGACCAGUGUCCAGGCUCUGCUACAGCUGGUAGCUUCUUGAAGCCAUAAGCAUUUCCUACAUCAACAAGGGAAGGAGACUACCUACAUUCUGGCAUAAGGAUUUUCUUAGAGGUUUGUGAUUUUGUUCGUUUCAUUUAUAUGUUUACUUUUGAUGGUAAAGACUUUAUAUAGAUCUCAAGGACAUUAUGAUUUAUUAUUUUUGUUGUCAUAAUUAUUGUGUAGGAAAAUAAAGCCUUUCUUAAAAUUUUUAUUUAUGCAAUUACAUCUAGAGACUUAGGCUACCAAAUGGGAUAAGAUCAUAAUUUUUAUUUGACAUUAUUCAUUCAUUUGCAAAUGACACAUCUCUCAACUCAACACGUGAUUUGACUUCAAGAUCUUUUAGUUUUGAGAUCAACUUAAAUUGUCAUUGUACUUUCAUCUCAGAUGUGCACCUGAAAACGAUUGAAGACACGAGUUCUUCCAUCACGGUCAGUAGUGAACAAUAUUGGGGAGAAGCGUUACGGGAUAGUGGUAGAGGGGCAAAUACGCUAUUUACUGAACUCCCAAAGGAUAGAUGUGUAAAACCUCCAUAAAAGUCAUACCGGUCAACCAAGCAAUCACAUAAAUGCAUGAGCACAAUUCUCUCGUAUCAACCUUUCUUCAAGUCUUUCUAAUUGCUAGGUCAACACAAAGUAUACUAGUCAACCAAUCUCAUAUAUAGUGUAUAAGCUCAGUUCUGUAUCCAGCAUCUUAUUUCCCAUCAAGUGCUUAAUGCUACCCGAUUGGUAGGUCAAAAAAUGUUGCGGUCCACAUGAAAUAGGAGACAAAUACCUAUCCAAUCUAAUCUACCUUAAGUUAUUUUCCAACAAUAAACAAUUGCUUCUUAUCAUAACAAUAACAACAAGACCACAAAACUCUAACUAUUUAGGGCCAACUAAGUCAUUUAACUCCUUAAAAAGUCAUUACUUCUUACCAAAAUAAUCUAUAAUUAGAAUCGAAAUCUAAGCUAGAGUUGAUUGAUUAAAAUUGGAAUUACAUUAAAACAGCUAAUCCCAUUAACAGUACUGGUUCAUGAAUUCAGGAACUGGAAUCAAAAUCCCACACACCAAUUGGGUUGUGCGUUAUUAUUGAUAUUAAAACAAGUGGCUAGUCUCUGGAUCGUGAACGCACAUGUCAAAGCAUUAGAAUUCAAGCAUCCAUGCCUAGUGCUCGUUAAACAUUGAGUAGUCAAAGACUACAACAUUGAGUAAUACUUACCUAAAAGAGCGGUGAUGGGGUCAUCCUUCAUUUAUUUUAGAUCAGGAUUCAGUCAACUUCCAAGUUGGCGCAGCCCACGUUUUUACAACGUUAACAACGCACCUGCCACUGUAGAUAGCAUGCAGCAGUUAGUGCUGCGGGCCUUGACUGGCGUUUGGCCUUGUCAAGUCCACAGACUAAGAUAAAGAAAUCAAGAAAUAAGCUAGAUGAUGGCGAUAUUCUAACUGCUCAAUCAUAGAGUAUUGGGAGUUUAAAGCUGGAAAGCUACCACUUGUGUUCAUGACUCUAUAAUUCUUGGAACCUCACCUUAGUUCUUCUUACCUCUCUCUCUCUCUCUCUCUCUCUCUCUCUCUCUGCCUUCUCCUAUGGGGAAAAUUUGCUGUGGAGCAGCAGAUGAUGAUGAUGGAAAUGGUGGGAUAGACAUGAUGGGCUUCCUUGUUGCAGUCAUCAUUGCGUUAGUGCUGAUACUCAUCUGCAGCCAACCACCCCGUCGACGAGCGAUGGUCACCGUUUGCCCCAGUCGCUGCUACUGAGGGAUUGCAGCAGCCUUCAACCUUGAUGUUCCAACAAAUGCAGAUUCUGCUUCCUCAGCAAUCCUCUUACUGGAAAGAUAAUCCUCCCUGUCCAUCAGCUGACUACUCUGUGGCUUCUUCAAUCUGUUGACCAAGAACCACAUCAGUUUAAAUAAGUAGACAGACAAAAAGCAAUUACUGCAUCAACUGGAAGUCAACUCUUAAUCUGUCUGAGGAAUGUGUGACAGAAAGAUGGUGGAGAGGAAAGCUUAGUCGUGGGAAAAGACCUUGGCAUAAAAGGCAAAAUAUCCUGCCACAAGUUCCCAUUAUUCUUGACAUCUCAAAUUAAACCAAAAUGUCAAAGCAGAAAGCUGAUAUAUGGGAUUAUAAAUAUAGUUCUAUCUGAGGAAUUUGUUCUUC